rnacentral:tRNA from 1 species
UGAGCGGUACCAGAGUGGUCAAAUGGGCCUGACUGUAAAUCAGGUGCUUUUUAGCUUCGGAGGUUCGAAUCCUCCCCGCUCAA